rnacentral:rRNA from 1 species
UACGUAGGUGGCGAGCGUUAUCCGGAAUUAUUGGGCGUAAAGAGGGAGCAGGCGGCACUAAGGGUCUGUGGUGAAAGAUCGAAGCUUAACUUCGGUAAGCCAUGGAAACCGUAGAGCUAGAGUGUGUGAGAGGAUCGUGGAAUUCCAUGUGUAGCGGUGAAAUGCGUAGAUAUAUGGAGGAACACCAGUGGCGAAGGCGACGAUCUGGCGCAUAACUGACGCUCAGUCCCGAAAGCGUGGGGAGCAAAUAG